GCAGUAGCCGCGGGAAUACAGAGGGUGCGAGCGUUAAUCGGAUUUACUGGGCGUAAAGCGUGCGUAGGCGGCUUCUUAAGUCGGAUGUGAAAUCCCUGAGCUUAACUUAGGAAUUGCAUUCGAUACUGGGAAGCUAGAGUAUGGGAGAGGAUGGUAGAAUUCCAGGUGUAGCGGUGAAAUGCGUAGAGAUCUGGAGGAAUACCGAUGGCGAAGGCAGCCAUCUGGCCUAAUACUGACGCUGAGGUACGAAAGCAUGGGGAGCAAACAGGAUUAGAUACCCCCGUAGUCCCUGUCUCUUAUAC
rnacentral:rRNA from 1 species